rnacentral:rRNA from 1 species
ACUCCUACGGGAGGCAGCAGUAGGGAAUCUUCGGCAAUGGGCGAAAGCCUGACCGAGCAACGCCGCGUGAGCGAUGAAGGCCUUCGGGUCGUAAAGCUCUGUUGUUAGAGAAGAACAAGUACGAGAGUAACUGCUCGUACCUUGACGGUACCUAACCAGAAAGCCACGGCUAACUACGUGCCAGCAGCCGCGGUAAU